UACGAAGGGAGCUAGCGUUGUUCGGAAUCACUGGGCGUAAAGCGCACGUAGGCGGACUGUUAAGUCGGGGGUGAAAUCCUGGGGCUCAACCUCAGAAUUGCCUCCGAUACUGGCAGUCUCGAGUGCGGGAGAGGUGAGUGGAAUUCCCAGUGUAGAGGUGAAAUUCGUAGAUAUUGGGAAGAACACCAGUGGCGAAGGCGGCUCACUGGCCCGUAACUGACGCUGAGGUGCGAAAGCGUGGGGAGCAAACAGG
rnacentral:rRNA from 1 species